rnacentral:rRNA from 1 species
CUACGGGUGGCUGCAGUGAGGAAUAUUGCACAAUGGAGGAAACUCUGAUGCAGCAACGCCGCGUGGAGGAUGACGCAUUUCGGUGUGUAAACUCCUUUUAUAUGUCAAGAAAAUGACGGUAGCAUAUGAAUAAGCACCGGCUAACUCCGUGCCAGCAGCCGCGGUAAUACGGAGGGUGCAAGCGUUACUCGGAAUCACUGGGCGUAAAGGACGCGUAGGCGGGAUAUCAAGUCAGGUGUGAAAUCCUACAGCUUAACUGUAGAACUGCACUUGAAACUGGUAACCUAGAGUAUGGGAGGGGGAGAUGGAAUUAGUGGUGUAGGGGUAAAAUCCGUAGAUAUCACUAGGAAUACCUAAAGCGAAGGCGAUCUCCUGGAACAUAACUGACGCUAAGGCGUGAAAGCGUGGGGAGCAAACAGGAUUAGAUACCCCCGUAGUC